rnacentral:rRNA from 1 species
UACGAGAGGUCCAAACGUUAUUCGGAAUCACUGGGCUUACAGAGUUCGUAGGCGGUUCUACAAGUGGGGUGUGAAAGCCCUCGGCUCAACCGAGGAACUGCGCUCCAAACUGUAGAACUAGAGGGAGAUAGAGGUGAGCGGAACUGAUGGUGGAGCGGUGAAAUGCGUUGAUAUCAUCAGGAACACCGGAGGCGAAGGCGGCUCACUGGGUCUCUUCUGACGCUGAGGAACGAAAGCUAGGGGAGCAAACGGGAUUAGAUACCCCGGUAGUCCUAGCCGUAAACGAUGAGCACUGGGCCGGAGCUCUGCACAGGGUUUCGGCCGUAGCGAAAGUGUUAAGUGCUCCGCCUGGGGAGUAUGGUCGCAAGGCUGAA